CACGCGGGAAAUCUUACCGGGUCCGGACACACUGAGGAUUGACAGGUAUUAUAUAAUUGCUCUUCGGAGCUUUUAUUGUUAAAUAUGCUAGUCCUUUCAUGAUUAUGUGAUAGGUGGUGCAUGGCCGUUCUUAGUUCGUGGAGUGAUCUGUCUGCUUAAUUGCGUUUCACUAUAAGGAUCUAUAUUCUUUACAGUGUGCAGUGCAUUGACCCCUUCUUCGGAAGCGUGUGUCUUUACGCUCACACUUCAUUAGGUCCUGAAAGCAACGAACGUGACCGCAACCUCUUGUUGCCUCUGUGCUCCUACACGCUCAAUGCGCUAAACACUGGUUUUCUUCGGAAGCUUAGUGCGUUGGUUGAGGCUUUCUUAAACUAGAGGGACCGCUGUCAACUUCUUAAACCAGAGGAAGGUUGCGGCAAUAACAGGUCUGUGAUGCCCUUAGAUGUUCCGGGCUGCACACGUGCUACAAUGAUUGUUGCAGUGAGCAUCUCAAUUCUUUACCACACCGCACACGUGAGUCUUUAACGUUUUGUUAAUGCACUUUACGCAGCGGUAACGCCUGCUUCGAGAGCAAGUGGGUAAUCAAUUAAAGUAACGAUUUCCCAAGUUAGCACACUUAUAUACGGCGUUUAUGCCCGGGUUUCACUCGUUGAUUCCUUUGGCGCGAAUGGAUUCUUCCG
rnacentral:rRNA from 1 species